rfam:Kitasatospora griseola strain MF730-N6 RKJC_7, whole genome shotgun sequence.
GUCCCCGUGGUGUAGCGGUAACACAACAGGCCCUCAACCUGUGGUGAGGGGUUCAACUCCCCUCGGGGGUA